rnacentral:snRNA from 1 species
AUACUUCCCUGGCAGAGGAGACCCCAUGAUCAUGAAGGUGGUAUUUCCAGAGUGAGACCUAUCCAUUGGACUCUAGAUGUGCUGACUCCUGUAAUUUCCCCCAAAGUGGGAAACCUGACUACAUAAUUUGUGGUAGUGGGGUGUUAUGUUGGUACUCCCCAC